UGAAGUUUUCCCUCGCACCCCUAAAUCACUUCGAUUCUCUCCCUCUUACUCAUUUACUAGUUCAUCCUUGUGGGAGCUGUGUUUCUUUUCGUCUCUCUGUGUGUCCUCGGAAACUCGUUGCCGCUGACUGGGUUCCACAACGUUGGCUUGUGGGUCUCUAGAUCCUGGUAUUGCUGCCGAGCCUCACAUCGGAAGUGCUAGACGUGGUUGUGAUACUGUUAGAGAACAGAUCCAAGGCAUAUCUUGUACACGGAAGUCAGGCCCAGCCACAGGUAUAAUGGUGGUUUAUAAACC